UCCUGCUCCCCGCUGGCCUCCGGGAGCUCCUCUCGCCCACGACGAUCCACCACCGGACGCCGCCGAUGGGUGCUGCCGACGACGGAACAACGUCGACCGGCGGCGGCGAGGUCCUCCUCCACCCGCUGGUGCUGGUGCCCGGGCUGACCUGCAACGAGCUGGAGGCGCGGCUCACGGACGCCUACCGCCCCUCCGUGCCGCGGUGCGGCGCGAUGAAGGGGAAGGGCUGGUUCGGGCUCUGGGCCAACUGCUCCGACCUGCCCGCGCACCACUACGUGCAGUGCUUCCUCGAGCAGAUGACCCUCGUCUACGACCCCGUCGCAAACGACUACCGGAACCUCCCCGGCGUCGAGACGCGCGUGCGAAGCUUCGGCUCCACCCGAGGCUUCCAGAGGAACCCGGAGCACACGUACGUACUGAACUGUAUCGUCCAUUGCCCAUCCAUGACGAAUAGGAGUAGCUCGUGACGACUGACUGCAUGGCUCUGAACGCAGGACCUGGUGCUUCGAGGUCCUCAGACACGAGCUGGAAAGGGCCGGGUACCGCGACGGCGACACCCUGUUCGCUGCCCAGUACGACCUCCGCUACGCCCCGCCGGUGCCCGGCCAGUCAUCGGAGGUCUUCUCCCGCUACUUCCGGCGGCUGACGAGGCUCAUCGAGGACGCAAGCGAGAAGAACGCAAACAAGAAGGUGAUCCUCUUCGGGCACAGCUUCGGUGGCAUGGUGGCGCUGGAGUUCGUGCGGAGCACUCCCAUGGCGUGGCGGAACAGGUACAUCAAGCACCUCAUCCUCGCCGCUCCGGUGCCGGCGGAAGGGGUCGUGGUGGCGCUGCAGUACUUCGUCUCCGGUUCCGACCUGAUGUACAUCCCCACGGUCACCCAGCUCGAGCUGACUCUGAGGCCGAUGUGGAGGAGCUUCGAGUCCUCCAUCGUCAACUUCCCGUCCCCGGCGGUGUUCGGGGACAGGCCGCUCGUGGUCACCGCGCAGAGGAACUACUCCGCCUACGACGUCGAGGAUCUCCUCGCCGCCGCCGGCUUCAGCGCCGGCGUGGAGCCUUUCAGGAGACGAGCGGUACCGAAGAUGAACUACUUCCAGGCCCCCAUGGUGCCGACGACGUGCAUCAACGGAGUGGGCAAUAACGACACGCCGGAGCAGCUCGUCUACUGGGACGGCGACUUCGACGCGGAACCUGAGAUAGUGUACGGCGACGGGGACAAUACCAUUAAUUUGAUCAGCAUGCUGGCGUUCGACGAGAAGAUGCGUCGGCAGCCGGAACAGAACAAGCUGUACAAGUCGAUUAAGCUUCAUGGGGCUGAGCACGGUACUAUUGUGACUGAGGACUGGGCGCUCAAGCGGGUCAUGCAAGAAAUCCUCGAAGCCAAUCGUAUUUAAUUAAUUUAUGAAUUUAUUUAUUGUAGACUCUAGCGAUUUUUUAAUAAAACAAUAUAUUUAUUUGCAAUAGUGUCGAGUUUGUAUGGAUAUAUAGGAGCAGUAACCAUAUUUUUUAGUGUCGAAAAUACGAAGCACAGAACAAAACCCUCAGACAGAACCGGUCAGUCAUGCAUGCUACUGGUUCACUAGUCCAGGUAUGAGUUUAUCGGUUAAGCUAGUUGUUAGAGUCAGGGGUGGAUCGAGGACGUGGACAAAGAGAGAGGCUAAAUAUUAAAGAUUUAAGACUAGAGCUAGAGAUUAAUGGUGAUUUGAGGCUAAGCAACAUUGAUUUAAUGGAGAAAUCAGGCUCACGAGGGGAGGCUGCAGCUCCCCAGCCCUCCAUGUGGAUCCGCCCCUGGUUAGAGCAACUCCAGUAGGGCCCCUUCUUAAGCUCUAUAGCUAAAUAUCUCUUACGGCACAUUUACUAGAGCACCCAAAUUUAGGUGGGCACAAAAAUCCCCCACCCCCCUUCGUCACCCAUUCCUGGAGCUCUAGGUCAAGCCUCCAAAUCAUCAUUGGUGUACUAUUUUCACUCGUGUGUCUUCGUUUUUAUCGGUGCGCUUGUCCCUUCUUCCGCUCGCGUCGCCGUUCUUCAGCAGCUGUGGAGCUCGACAUAGAAGACGCCUCAAUGAUCACUCUGGUUCGAUCCUCUAGUCCGAUCCGCUAGGGGCUCCACGUAGAAGAGCUCGGGUAGAAGCUAGGGAGCCCACGGAGAGAGGCGCUCGUGGAAUCUCCAGUCCGAUCUGGUGGGGGUGCGAGGACGACCGAAGAGAGCUACGUUGAAGAGCCUGGACGCAUUUGAAGAAACAGAGGGGUGGCCAGGGAGGAGCGUGCCGCACCAAGGAGGGGGUGCCGCAUCGGGGAGUGACAUGGGGCAAGCGGGGGAGGAUGCACCGCCUAGAGUCAAUGCGGGGUGGGCCGGUGAGGACGCUCCGUCGGUAGUCGUGCGACGGGACGUCGUCUGGAGUUGCGCGAUGGGGCGUUCCUCACGGAGGAGUUGCGGCCACGCGUGGAGAAGCAGCGGGCCAUGGAAGGGAGGUGUAGGGAACUCGCGACAGACAUGACCGUGUGGCGCCGGAGCAAUGGCAGCACAUCAUGAGCUAGAGUAAGUCGCGGCCAAGUCUUCGGCACUGGACAAGGGCGAGCCGGCGUUGUGGGUUAAUUCCAAGCGCGCGAGGGAAAAACAACCCAACAUCCGGCUGAGCCCAAAAUAGGUAUCAAAUGUAGAAUUUGGGUGCCCUUCCAAAUUUUGGAUGACCAUAGGAUCCUACUGAAGCAUGUUUUUUGUAUGAGAGCUAUAUGAAAGCUUAAGUAGAAGGCUAGCUAGAGUUACUCUAAGAGCAUCUCCAAAGGCCUCUCCAAAUCAGUUUUGCAUUUGAGGUUAUUUGCAAAGUCUCAAAAGAAAAUGCAAAGCCUAAAAAGAUGCCUAUUCCAAGGGCCUUUGCAAAAUUGACUUGGCAUUCUCAAUUUGGAUCCGGCAGCGAGUUUUUUUUUCUUUCGCGCGCUGCUUGUUGCGUUUCGCGCGUCCUCGCCGCCGUCGUGUUUGCUGCGGAAAAAACAAACAGGGCGCCGCGAAGUUCCAGGUCGAGUUCGCCGCCGGUUGUUGCUGUCCCGUCUCCCGUGGUCGUCGUCGAGAUCGUCCCAGUUCCAGUUCGUCCCAGUUGCCGUUCCCGUUCGUCCCUGUAACAGAACCGACCAAAUUAUAAGAGAUUAAGCCUAAUAGUGACCAUUUGCAUAGUCGAACUAUCACGCUUAAGCCCAUAUAAUCCCGGUAGUCCGUGAAAUCUCGAUGGAUUUCAAACCACACAUCACAUAACAGCCAAGAUCGUAAUAAGUUCAGCGGUCGCCAUCCACAAGUACAUCCAGAUUUCAACAUUCAUAAAAUACAUCGGAGUGCUUAAAGUUAUUACAAACCAAGUUCUUCAAGUAGCGGAAGCUUCAUAGUUUGAAAUUACAACACACACGAUAAGUCUGAUAUAGUGCCAUAGUGCGGUCAUUCCACAAAAGCAAAAGAAGAGACGGAGUGACCAUCGCCCUUGGUCUAGUCAUCACCCAUAGCUGGGUACAGACAGAGGAUGCAAUAACCAUAGUACAUUUGACCAUCUGCAAAACAACAUGGGAAUAGAACCCUGAGUACGAGAAGGUACUCAGCUAGACUUACCCGUCAUAAACUUAAAAUAAAGACUCAUCAAGGAUCAUGAAGGCUAUAUAGUGGGAUAGCUGACGACCAUUUUGCAAAACCGCAGUAUUUUGCUAACAUAACCUACAUAAGUCUUUCUUCUUUUAAUUGGCUCAAGUUGAAAGUAUCAUUACCUAUCGUCUAGGUUUGCACCUGCACUAUUACAAGCAAGUAGGAGACUAUGAUAGUACCUCAUCAUAGCAUUUCUUAAAACUAUUCAUCAUUAUAACCUAAGUGUUCCAUAGUCCUUACUACGAGGACAGGGCUCAUGUCAAGUGCUCACUAUCCAGGAGCGAUGGCGAUUCGAAUCGAUUUCUAACCAGCUGGCGAGGUAUUCCCCACACAAACCACACUCACUGAUCAAGUGAGCUACAGAUCACCGUAUUACACUAUCCAGGACCAAUUCGCGGGUUCGGCAGGCACCGCCAGUACCCGAGGACCGUUCCGGCGACCGAGGUAUCCAAGGUAUACCAAGGUUGCGCGCCGCGCCCUCGUCGUUCUCCUCAACCACCACCAAUACAGCGCAUGGCGGCUCGAUUCCCGGCCCGGAUAGUGCUCAGGUUUCGCGGUCGGAACGACUUAUCCUUCCAGCUAAAUGUGGGGCAUGCGUUCAACAUGACAAGAGGGCCGUCAACGAUCGGUCCUUAAUCGACACAGGCAGGGGCUCUAUGGGCAACCCACCAUAAGACCCUGCCCGGUCUCCAAUUACAGUUCACACUUGGUUAUUUCUUUCCCCAAGCAACCACUGCUUAAUCAAGCAGGUAUCCACCUAUAUCUCGCAGGUGACAGGGCAUCACCCGACUUCUACCGGACUAAGCAAGCUAAGCAUAGACUCCGCGCCUAUCUACAUAGGACAAGGUAGAUAAACGAGUAGGGAUGACAAGGAGUACAUAUGCAGCAACGGUAUCAGGCAACUCCUAUCACUUAAUAUGCAAUACAGUAGAACAGGUAUAACACUUUAUAUAAGUUAGCGAGAAUAGGGAGACUUAGAAUGCUCCGGGGCUUGCCUUUCUCAAAGGUGCUGGGUCGGUGAUCCGGACACUCUUGCAAUUCCUCUCCGGUUUCCUGUGCUUCCGGAGGUUCCUGCUCCUGUAUCUCCUCGGGUUCCUCGGGUCCCACUUCGUUCUCCUACGAGCCUGUAUGAUGCAUAUAUGCUCAUGAGUGGAGUGCUAGAUGCCCGAGUGGAUGCUUGUACGAGAAAGUACCAAAGGAGUCAUGUUAUGAUGCAUAGGUAACACACUUGGUCAUGCUUAUUACAAGGUAGUCAACAUCAUCCAAGAAUAAACAAUUGAAUCAAACAUCUAUUACAUUCUCUUCUAUAAUUAUUUUUCAAAUGCAACCAGCAACCUCCAUGAUGCUUCAAAGAUACACCAAACCCAACUUAUUCCAUUCAACCUAUAUAUACAACCAUUCAUAGUUUUCUGUAUUCAUUUCUAAGCCCAUUAAAAAUGACAUGCAAUUCUGUUCAUCAAUAAAUUCCAUAGAAAUUACAGGAGACUUCCAGCUAAGCAUAGAGUUUACUGAAAAUUUUUCAUAAUUUUUGGAUACUUAUUUUGAGCCACAAAAAUCACAAGAUUAAUUAAUAAGGCAAGUAAAAUCACCCUACUGUGAUAUAAGUGUCAAACAACAGAUUUCAUAUUUUUACAAUUUAUCUAAUAUCAUAAGAAACAACCCCAAAAUUUUCCAGAUUUAUUGCAUGACCCAUUUAAUUAUUAAAAAUCAUAAAGCACUGCCAUGCAAGCAUUUAAAUUACCAUAAAUUCAUUUAUACACCAAAUAAUAUGUAACAAUAUUUUCUCAGUGAUUAAACACACAUGCAGAGCCAGCAAAACAAGUUUUACAUUUUUCUGAACCCUAUUUUAUUUACUAUGCAUUUUCCAAGUUUAGGAAAAACAUGGAUUAAUUAUAUUCUUACAGGAAAGUUACUCAAACAUGACAUGCAAUCAUACUUGGCUAUAGAUCUGGAAAUAAGGAACACACCAAAAUUUAUUUCACCAUUUUUGGAGCUAUAUUCAUCAAGAUAUGGAUUUUUGAACAUUUAAAUCAUUUCCUGGAAAAACUUUUAAAACGGAAAACCACCUAAAACACUAAACGCACCCGGAUCCAUUCCCUCGGAGUCACUGACAGGCGGGACACGUGAGUCAGAGGACCCCACCUGUCAUCCACCCCGUGACCCUGCUAGGUGCACCCGGUGCAGUGCACCCGCGGCCGCUGACGAGCGGACCCGCCUGCCAGCCGGGCCCGCUGGCCAGGACACCGAGAGGGGGGAGGAUCCCCGACGACGGCUCGCCGCCGGUGAUGCCUCUCGGCCGGAACCAACGGCACCAACACGUUUGCCUCCCUCUUGCGACUCGAUUCCACCCCUUUACUCGCCCUGAAACCCCGCACAGCGAGUUGGCCACCGGCAAUGGCGGACCGGCGGCGCUGCCGCAGCGGUGCCGGCCACCACGCUCCGGUAGAGCGCUCGAGUGCGGCUUCUCGUGACUCAGGGAGCCACGACGACCAUGAUGUGCGCGCUAGCGAGGCAAGAGAGGUUCGGGAGGGGGAAAACCAGCGAUGCCGACGCCGCGGAGAGCUCCGGCGAGGCCGCGGACUCUCCAGCGAGCGAUUCGGCUCGCUAGAACCGCUCACCUGCGCGAAGAAACUACGUCCGAGCACGCGGAGAUGAAUGCGGAGCUCGGAGAGGUGGAAGGAGGCGCUGAGAGGCGACGAAGUGCCGAGAACACGGCGAGCGGAGCUCGGGGAGCUCUAAUGGCGAGCGGCGGCACGGUGCGCGCGGAGAGGAGGCAGGAGAGCGCGAGAGAGAGCGAGGGGGCGCGCACCGGGUGGAGGAGAGAAUGGCGAGGGAGGUGGCGCUGUCCGCAGCGGAGGGGGGGGGUCGUGGCGCCGGCGAGCACCGCAUGCCGUCCACGCGGCGCCGUCGGCCUGACGCGGUCGGGCGCGCGCGGCGCGGCCGUGUCCGAGCGCGCGCGGGGAGGAGGUGGACGCGGCGCGGUCGGCCUGGGCUGGCUUCGCUGGCUGGGCCGGUUGGUUGGCGCCGGCCCGCCAGUGAACAGCUCCCCCUUUCUUUUUUUUUUGAAAUUCUUUUUCCAAAUUCCUUUCUAAAAUUACUUGGACCAGCCAAAAAGCAUUUUCACCUCUUGCUCCCAAAAACAAAAUUGUUCCAAAUUAAAAACUCUACAACUUUGCUUUAACAAGCAAGACCAAAUUCCAAACAAAAUUUGAAUUACAAGUUAAAACUUAGUUCUAGAUUUUAAUUAAAUUCUUUUUGGAUAUUUUUGUAUAAAUUCCAUUUCUCAAAUUCUAUAGCUCCAAAAAUUGCACAAAAAUGUUCUUAAUUCUUCUUACACAUAAAGCAACCUAAUUUGAAUAUUUCACAAUUUUAGAAACAAGCAUCACAUUUUUAACAUAAUUAAAGCACAUGAAAUGAAGCACAUAAAAUCAUAAUUUGAAAAGAGUGUCAUGCUCAUGAUGCUUAUGCUUGAUGGAAAUGCUUAUGCAUGACUUUGGUGAGACUAAGUGCAUGCUUAACACCUAGGGUGUUACAGUCCCGAAGUUCAUCAAGACGUCGCGAAGUUCCAGUUCAUCCCAGGUCGCUGCUGCCUUCGACGGCUUCUAGAUCGAAGUUGCUGCUGGUGACGAUGCUGCCGCCGACUCCAUCAAACAGGCUUGCACUGCGGCUCGCCAAGGUUUGUUGUGCGUGAAUUCUUGUGUCCGUCCAUUAAUUUUUUGUAUUUUGUUCAAUGUUGUGAGGCGCGUAAUUGUUCUCAGCUGCGGCGGAAGAGGGCUUCCAGAUCACGUCUCCGGAGACAAUUGGAUGACGAGUCUUCAGAAGACGAUGACUUUUUUAUGUGCGCAGCUGCUCGGAUUUUGCACAAAUAUUCUAGUAAAAAACAAAGACAUGCUGUCAUUCAUCAUUAGUACCACUGAACUCAAUGUCCUGCGUCAGCGAAAAAUUCAAGUUCAAAUCCAGACCCAAUGCAACAUCACUCGGAUCAGCGUCUGAUGUGAGUAUGCCGGUAUAGUAUCCAACGUCCUCCAUUACAAAGUAAUCUGCUAAUGGAAAGAACAACCCAUGUCACUAGAUGAAGAAAAAUUUAACAUAUCAAAAAAUUAACAUCUUCUUUACAUAGGCAUUCAGGUUUCUAUUCAACAUGAAAAAUAAAAGACAAUCGAUGCAACGCCAUCAAUAGAGACCACAAAUAUUGCAAAAAAUUUAACAUAUCAACAAAUUAACAUCUUCUUUACAUAGGCAUUCAGGUUUCUAUUCAACAUGAAAAAUAAAACACAAUCGAUGCCACACCAUCAAUAGAGACCACAAAUAUUGCAAAAAAUUUAACAUAUCAAAAAAUUAACAUCUACUGAUCGGCCAUAUCAAGGCAUCACAUCACAACCAUGUGUAGGCAAUAAACCCUAGCAGAAAUCCAUAGCUACGAUCACAACCAUAAAAAGGCCUAGAGGGGUUCCAGAAAGCGGGUUCGUGAACGAAAUCCACACCGUCCGGUUUGAGUUGCGUGAAGCCGGAGUUGCCUGAAGCCGCGUCCUCGAUCUUGCCUGCUGUAUGCGCGCCGUGGAGACCCUGGAGCCACGGCCACCUGGAGACGUCGGGCAGCCGCACGAAGCCGGAGUUGCCUGAAGCCGCGUCCGCUGCGUGCCCGCAGCGCCGGCGAUACGACGAGUCGUCAGGCGAGAGAGAUCGAGUCCGCUGAUUGCGUCCACGGAUCACGCGAGAGAGAUAGAGGACAGGGGGUCGCGGCGGCCACGGAGUCGGGCGCGAGUCCGCGCGAGACGAGGACCGGGCGACCGAAUCAGCGCGGGAGGAGAUUUUGCCAAACCCAGAGUCCUCUGCAUAAAUGCUAAGUUGGGAGGAAGAUUUGCAAAGUUUGCACAAAUGCAAAACUCAUUUGCAAAACCAUUGGAGCCCUCUUUUUGUGGUUUUUUGCAAAUUAUCAAAUGCAAAACUGAUUUGGAGAGGAUAUGAGGGAGAUGGAAAAAAAUGGCACGAGAAGAUCUACAGUGGUAGCAAUCAAUCAAUCAACGACAAAAAAGUCGAAAUUUUUCACAAAAAUGGAUGGAAACAAAAGGAGAGCGUGCUUCACGUUACGGUCCUUUCUUAGGGGGUAUUUGGUUGGGAAAGUAAAGUUUAACGGAUAUUGUAGUAUUUUCAUUUUAUUUAUUAAUUAUUGUUCAAUCAUGAGCUAAUUAGAUUUAAAAGAUUCGUCUUGCAAAUUACUCUCUAGCUAUGUUUUUAGUUUUAUAAAUAAUAUAUAUUUGGUACUUUAUUUAUACAUGUAUCCAAACAUUCGAUAUAAUUGAAAGUUAAAGUUUAACUUGUGAAACCAAAGAAGGACUUAUUUUCUUUAAAAAAAGGGCCUUAAUUAUUCUCCAUCGAUAUAGGCCUUGUUUAGUUUUCAAAAAAUUUUGCAAAAUUUUUCAGAUUUUCCGUCACAUCGAAUCUUUAGACACAUGCAUAAAGUAUUAAAUAUAGACAAAAAUAAAAACUAAUUACACAGUUUGGUCGAAAUUGACGAGACGAAUCUUUUGAGCCUAGUUAGUCCAUAAUUGGACAAUAUUUGUCAAAUACAAACGAAAAAGCUACAGUGUCGAUUUUGCAAAAUAUUUUGGAACUAAACAAGGCCAUAGCUGGACUAAUUUAGAAAGGUAGCCCGAUUGGGAAACGUGACAAACGUCUACGCGCGUGUGGAGCCAAAUAAAUAGAGGCGUACAAACGUGAGUACGUGACCGACUGGAGUGCACUGCACAGAGGAGUGCCAACGUUACGUUACUCACAGACACAGCCGGUCGGCAACAUAUCAUGGCGAGGAUUCUCCAGGUUGUGGCGCCGCUCCUCCUCCUCCUGCUCCCCGCUGGCCUGCGGGAGCUCCUCUCGCCCACGACGACGAUCGACCCCCGGCCGCCGCCGGCAGGUGCUGCCGACGGCGGAACAACAACCGGCGGCGGCGAGGCCCUCCUCCACCCGCUGGUGCUGGUGCCCGGGCUGACCUGCAACGAGCUGGAGGCGCGGCUCACGGACGCCUACCGCCCCUCCGUGCCGCGGUGCGGCGCGAUGAAGGGGAAGGGCUGGUUCGGGCUCUGGGCCAACUGCUCCGACCUGCCCGCGCACCACUACGUGCAGUGCUUCCUCGAGCAGAUGACCCUCGUCUACGACCCCG
rnacentral:lncRNA from 1 species